UGGGAAUAACCAUUAUCAGUGAGUGCAUA
rnacentral:piRNA from 1 species